GGGGCGUGCGGGCGGGAAGGUGCUUGGGGAGCUGGGGACCAAACACCGCACUUGAUCGUGUUUCUCUUUCAGCGCGGACUGUCGCAGCCGAAGAGCUGUCAUUUCAGCCCCGGGAUUCCGACGAGUGGACCCGGUCCCCCGCGGAGGGGCACCUCUCAUCCCCGAGCUGCUGCGUGUCUCCGACUUGCAGCAAUACUAGUUUUUCUCCGGGAGGCUGUAAUUAACAUCUUAUUUGUUCUGGCCAGAUACAGGCUUUGUCAGGACCGCGGUGCGGCCACCGAGUUGACUGACAAGUAUUUGAUGAAUUAGUUUCAGAUACAUGCUGCAAAAGGUCAUUCGCCUACUAUGUCCCUACUUGUAAACGCAGUUGGAGGUUUGCAAAACAAGUGCUCAAACAGUGCGGUGAUGUGGUGGGAGGAGACCAAAAUAGGUAAUUCAUAUCAAGUGUCGGACUCUUCCUAAGGGCUACUGACCUGGCCUGAAGAUGAUCCUGCUGGGGUAUAUUUAUAGAAGGUGAUUGUGGAUGAUAAAUAUGCCAAGCAAGACACCAUCUCCAGUAACCCCAGGCUCGUCUGACUUCCUCAGGGGGUCAUAAUCAAGAAUCACAAAAAGAACCAUAUAUGCAGAAUCUGGUCUGUGGACCCUGACUACAGCACAAUCCAAAGGCCAAGGAAGGAAGAACCACAGCGAUUCAUGUCUGCACCAUGAUUCGCAUGAAAGCACUGCUGGCACAUUGACCCACCAACAGAAAGAGCAGCAGUUACACCCUGCAGGCAAUCUUGUGUCCUCUCCUCCCUAUUGAGAUUGGCCUGUCUUCAUGUUUUAAUACACUGUAAAAUCACCAUUUCAAAUUAUAAUGAUCAGCUUUCAUUGGCCUCUUUCACAAGUCUGUGUGUGUGUCUAUGUAUAUAUACAAAUGCAUAUAUAUAUAUAUAUAUAUAUAUAUACACAUACACUUAUUUUACAUAUAUACACAUUAUAUAUAUGAUACCUACACCUAUAUAUAUAAAUAAAAGUACAUAUACAUAUAUUUAAAUUGCUACAUGUGUUUGGGAGGACGGUUUCACUAUGUUGCUUAAUAUUUCUCUUAAUAAAAUGAAGUAUUCUCAUGCCAGCAUUGCCCAAUUAAUUGUAUAAGCUAAUUUUCAUCCAUGUUCCUUGCCAACUUUUGAAAGGACUAUCGAGUGUUAACACAUCAAAUACAGACUUGUAUUUUCAACUGGCCCCAUAGUAUAUGAAGUGAAAGUCUUUCAAAUCUCUCUCCUAUUACGUAUACAUUUUAUUAAGAUUACUUUAGAGAAAUGAGGUUUCUAAGUGUAAUUCAUCUCUGUUCUGUUGCCUUUUUUUCUUGCUAAGUUUAGUCCUCUACAUUUGAAAAUGACCCCAUCCUUCAAAAUCGUUGUAUAAAAUUCAGCUAUCACCUGCAUAAUUCUCAGACUUAAAUCAUUAGAAUAUGUUCACUCAGUUUUAGAAAGUGUUUUCUCUCCCCUCACCUUUUCUCUCAUAGUAUUUUUGGUAUUACUCUGUUACCACAUUCUAAACUUUAUAAUUUUCCUACAGUAAGGCUUUAAGAAGCACAAAUAAAUUUGUAGAUUCUUCCUUCUUCAAUAUGCUCUAAUUUUUCAAUAUUUAAUGUCUCCAACAUACACACACAAAAAGGCUUUGGAAACCACUAAUUCCACAAUUAAAGGAAAUUAAUAACUUCAAUAAGAACCUGAACUAGCCUAUUAUUUACUAUAAUCAACUAAUAUUUUAAUAUAUUCUGUUAAUAAAAUGGUCAAAAUAUUACAUGAUUAAAUUGUUAUGAGUACAUACCUUAUGUUUAAAAUUAGCAUAUUUACAGUGAAUUGAAAUAAUUUCUUUUUCUCCUUUUCCUCUGCUCUUCUGCCUCCUCAACUUUCUCUUCAUUCUCCUCCUUCUCCUCUCUUUCUUCCUCCCUAUUAUUAUUAAAUAAUGAAGUCUCUCAGGAACUCAGUUGAUUUUCUUGGAUAUCUGUCAAAAAACAAUUUGACUAUUUUUUACUUGGACAUCCUGAAUAGAAAGUACGUGGAAAAAGUAGUAAAAAGUAAAGGGAUAGAGCAGAGGACAGGGAUAUGUGGUAUGAUGGUUCUCCUGGGUUAGUCUAAACUUGCCCCACUCCAGGCAUAGCCAGAGUUAUUUUUAGUCCAAAGAGUCUAUAAAGUUAGUAUAUUUAGCCAUUAUCUUUAAUUUCUAGAAUUUCAAAUGAACUAGAAAUCAAGAUUCUUCAUUUUUACCCCUGAACUUGACACUAAUUAUAUACCUGACAUGGACAAACAGCUGUAGACUGUCCAGAUUUCAGCCUCCUCGCAGGAAAGGGUCUGACUAAAUACUUUUUAAGGUUCUUCUGGUGUCUUCUAAAUAAAAGAAAGUAUCUCAUAGGAAAUAGAAGCAAUGAGAGAAAAAGGCAACAAAACCCUAGACUAGGAAGAAUCACAAUUAGUCCAUGGUAACUUCUGCUCUGUCAUGAUUUUUAAAACCUCUGUAGUUUUAUCACUUUUGCUUUGUAGUUUUCCUUCCUUACUGUCAGUCAGCCCUUGACAUCCUUAUUCUUUUCUCAUUGUGACCAAUUUUUUUUCUUAGAUUGAGUUCCCACCCUACCAAUAAGUCUAACAAGAACUAAACCUGCAAGGACAACCUUAUCUAUUGAGCUUAAUCAGCACGAGAGUUUGAGGUCCAUUGAUCACUCAUUAUUUCCGAACUCUUGUGUCUCUCCAGCCUUGUUCCUUGACAGUCCGGAUCCACUAAUCCCUACUAUUCCUCUUUUUGCCUGAUUCUCCCACUUUGCCUUCUGGAUCUCACUCUUCUGCACCAACACACCCUCUUGCACAAUGUUCGUUCUGUACCCUCUGUUGGCUGAGACCUGCACUUUUGUGAAGAUGUGGCAUCUCUUGCAACCAUGUCAAGUAGAAGUCACUUAAAUACCUGCUUCUUCCAUCAACAUGAAUGACGGUGUGUGGGGACACAGGAACAGUGACUUUACUCUCCACUGCUGGUUUGAAAUCUUUACUUCUCAUGACAUUUUUUCCUUAGAAGUUAUACUAUCUGCCUUUACCAACCUCACUCCUCCUUGCUAUCAUCUACCAUCUUCCAAGUUUUUUCUUUUUCUUUUUCAGAUUCUUUUCUUUUAUAAAAUUAUAGUUGACAUAAAAUAUUAUGUUAGUAUCAGGUGUACAACAUAGUGGUUUAAUAAAUUAUAUAUUAUGAAAUGCUCACCACGGUAAAUAUAGUCACCGUCUGUCACCAUGCAAAGAUAUUACUUUGGGUAGUUAUGAAUAUUUUAAUAGUAUUAAUUCUUCCAAUCCAUGAACAUGUUAUAUCUUUUCAUUUUUUUGUGUUGUCUUCAAUUUUUUUUUUUUUCCUUCAGUGUCUUAUAGUUUCCAGACUACAGGUCUUCCACCUCCUUGGUUAAAUUUAUUUUUAGGCAUUUUGUUCUUUUUGAUGCAAUUGUAAAUGGAAUUGUUUCUUAAUUUCUCUUUCUGUUAGUUCAUUAUUAAAAUAAAGAAACAACACAUUUCUAUAUGAGAUUUUUGAACACUGCAAUUUAUUGAAUUCAUUGAUUAGUUUUAGUAGUUUUUUGGUCAAGUGUUUUGGGUUUUCUAUAUACAGUAUCAGGUCAUCUGCAAAUAGUAGCAAUUCUACUUUUUCCUCACCAAUUUGGAUGCCUUUUUUUCUUUUUACUGUCUGUUUGCUGUGGAGUACUCCAGUACUAUGUUGAAUAAAAGUGGUGAGAGGUGGCUUCCUUGUCUUGCUCCUGAUCUUAGAGGAAAAGCUUUCAGCUUUUCACCAUUAAAUAUGAAGUUAGCUGUGAGUUUGUCAUAUAUGGCCUUUAUUAUGUUGAUGUAUGUUCCCUCUAUACUCACUUUGUUGAGAGUUUUUAUUAUGAAUGGAUAUUGAAUUUUGUCAAAUGCUUCUCUGCAUCUAUUGAGAGGGUCAUACGGUUUUUAUCCUUCCUUCUGUUAGUGUGGUGUAUCACAGUGAUUGAUUUGCAGAUACUGACACUGUCCUUGCAUCUCUGGAAUAAAUCCUGCUUGGUU